rnacentral:rRNA from 1 species
CGAGCACGCGCGUGUGGCAUAUCAAUAAGCGGAGGAAAAGAAACUAACAAGGAUUCCCUUAGUAACGGCGAGUGAAGCGGGAAGAGCUCAAAUUUGAAAUCUUCAAGGUUCUACCUUGACGAAUUGUAGUUUAUAGAAGUGUUUUCUGUUAGUGGAGUGGCAAAAGUUCUUUGGAAUAGGACAUCAUAGAGGGUGAGAAUCCCGUAUUUGGUCAUUCCUCCUAGCGUUGUGAUACACUUUCAACGAGUCGGAUUGUUUGGGAAUGCAGUCCAAAAUGGGUGGUAAAUUUCAUCUAAAGCUAAAUAUUGGCGGGAGACCGAUAGCGAACAAGUACCGUGAGGGAAAGAUGAAAAGAACUUUGAAAAGAGAGUUAAACAGUACGUGAAAUUGUCAAAAGGGAAGCGUUUGACACCAGUGUUGUUUUUCCGAAAAUCAAUUACGAAUGUUUUGUUUUUAAGGAGUUAUGACUUCAUCGGCUUGCUUCCUUUCUUUACUGAAACUUUCUUAAUGCACUUUUCGGUUAACAAGUCAACAUCAAUUUCUUUUGUUGUAAAAGGGUAUGAGGAAGGUGGCUUUCUUUUCGGAGAAAGUGUUUAUAGCCUUGUGCCUCUGCAAUCGGAGAGAUUGAGGUCUGCAGCGUAGAUCCUUCGGGGUUAGAUACAGUUUGUGCUAAGUUAUAGCUUUUCAUAGACAACUUGUUGACUAUGUUAAGUCUUGUAGCUUACUCGCUUAUGCUAUUUUACCUACGCUUAGGAUGUUGAACUCUAUCACACACAG